CAAUGUGUCUUGUCAUAGUAGAACUGUCCUCCUCACCCUUGACUGACCCUGAGGGUGUGUUUGUAAUCCUCACCAUGGAACCACUUGCUUAUUGCUUUUGAAAUAGCUCUUUGAAAGGCUGGUUUGCAAAUGUACUCUUGUACUAGUGAGGGGAUGUUUCCCUGGAAUAAUGAGAAAUCUCUCUGUCCUGCUUUUAUAGAAAAACAAAACAAAACAAAACAAAAAAGCACCCACUCCCGAUUCGUUCAAGUAGGAGAAGCUUGGAACUGCACAAAACUUGCCUUUCUGAGGCUCACACGGACUAUAAAUGUGAGAAGCCAUCAGAAGCUAACAACAGCAGGAAAUGUCAAGGUGAGUUACAGGGGUGUGGGAGAGGUUGAGACCAGAUUGUUAGGCAGUCAGGGAUUGUGAUGUCUCAAGAGCAAAUGAAGUUGUGAAAAAAAGUUGGGAAUGGUGUACCAAAAACUUUUGGGGAGAGGAAGGGAGAGAGAGAUCCCCUUGAUUCCCCAACAGUUUGCACCUGGCCAGAUACUAGAGAGGGUAGCCUUCCAAGUAAGGGUCUGAAUGUGAAUGUCACAGCAGCUUGGAGCAGGUGUUCCUGGUCGCGAGCAUCAGGACUGUGAGAGGAUCAAAGAACACCAUGCAGAACAGGCAGGUUUUGGAGAAAGAAUGGGCUGAGGAGAAACCUGUGAAUGAAAAUAUGGAGUGGCGGGCGUGGUGGCGCACACCUUUAAUCCCAGCACUUGGGAGGNNNNNACUAAGCACAACCACUUCCUGGCUGCUUAAGUUUUUCUUUCUUUUCUCUCUUUCUUCUUUCUUUUUUUUUCUGAGAC
ensembl:lincRNA Gm26964 predicted gene, 26964